AAAAUUAAAAAAUGUUAAAUAACUUGAAAUAAAAUAAAAAAAAAUAAAAAACACAAAAUUGUUUUCAAUCUUAUAUUAUUAUUACAAAAUUUCAUUCUUAUGAAUCCAGCUGUCUUCGGUUUUGGGGAACUCAACCAGCGCGCACUGCAGUUUAGAUACAGCGCCCUGCCCACAGCGCGAGAACGGUCACGGAGACGGGUGUUGGAGGUGGGGAAGGAGGUGUGACGACGGGCGGCGGCGGGGGCGGUAAUAACUAUGAGAAGCGCAUAAAUUACUGCAGGAUGAAGAAGGCGGAGUUCCGUUGCUGGGACGCCAAGAAGAUUGAGGUGAGCAAGGCGAAGGAGGAGCUCGAAUAUAUGCGCGAGGUGCAUCGAUUGCGAGUCAAAGAACUUAAACUAAAGAUAAGCAUACUGCAGAGGGAGGAGGAACAAUUGUGC